rnacentral:miRNA from 1 species
CCUGUGUGUGUGUGUGUGUGUGUGUGUGUGUGUGUCUGUGAGACACACACACACACACACACACACGGGCAGGAG